UUUGUUUGUCCUCUUUGGUUUCCGCCACGAGCCUUCUUCUUUCAUUUGCUGGCGUUGGUGAUACAUGUUCGUUUGUCGCUGGUGAUAUCCGUUGAAAUCUCUUGAUUUUUCAGAACUACUGGAGAAUUAGGUAGUUUACUUCAGCAGAAAGCAUGAGAGCAAAGUGGAGGAAGAAGCGCAUGCGGAGGCUUAAGCGGAAGAGGAGGAAGAUGAGGGCGAGGUCGAAGUAGGUUGCUGGCCCUCACGCUCUGCUGGAACUCCAUAACAUCUGAUCAGCACUGCUCAUUGUGUUGUGUGGCUGCAGCAGAGACUUUUGUAUAAAUUUGUUGGGACAAUAAAUGUUUCAACAAAA